rnacentral:rRNA from 1 species
GAUGAACGCUGGCGGCGUGCCUAAUACAUGCAAGUCGAGCGAACAGACGAGGAGCUUGCUCCUCUGACGUUAGCGGCGGACGGGUGAGUAACACGUGGAUAACCUACCUAUAAGACUGGGAUAACUUCGGGAAACCGAAGCUAAUACCGGAUAAUAUAUUGAACCGCAUGGUUCAAUAGUGAAAGACGGUUUUGCUGUCACUUAUAGAUGGAUCCGCGCCGCAUUAGCUAGUUGGUAAGGUAACGGCUUACCAAGGCAACGAUGCGUAGCCGACCUGAGAGGGUGAUCGGCCACACUGGAACUGAGACACGGUCCAGACUCCUACGGGAGGCAGCAGUAGGGAAUCUUCCGCAAUGGGCGAAAGCUUGACGGAGCAACGCCGCGUGAGUGAUGAAGGUCUUCGGAUCGUAAAACUCUGUUAUUAGGGAAGAACAAAUGUGUAAGUAACUAUGCACGUCUUGACGGUACCUAAUCAGAAGGCCACGGCUAACUACGUG